rnacentral:rRNA from 1 species
UGGGGAAUAUUGCACAAUGGACGGAAGUCUGAUGCAGCGACGCCGCGUGGGGAUGAAGGCUUUCGGGUUGUAAACUCCUUUCAGUACAGAAGAAGCUUUAUUGUGACGGUAUGUGCAGAAGAAGCGCCGGCUAACUACGUGCCAGCAGCCGCGGUAAUACGUAGGGCGCGAGCGUUGUCCGGAAUUAUUGGGCGUAAAGAGCUCGUAGGCGGUUUGUCGCGUCUGCUGUGAAAGACCGGGGCUUAACUCCGGGGCUGCAGUGGGUACGGGCAGGCUGGAGUGCGGUAGGGGUAACCGGAAUUCCUGGUGUAGCGGUGGAAUGCGCAGAUAUCAGGAGGAACACCGAUGGCGAAGGCAGGUUACUGGGCCGUUACUGACGCUGAGGAGCGAAAGCAUGGGGAGCGAACAGG